GGACUACUCGGGUUUCUAAUCCUGUUUGAUCCCCACGCUUUCGUGCCUCAGCGUCAAUGUCGGUCCAGAUAGCCGCUUACGCCACUGGUGUUCCUGUCAAUAUCUACGCAUUUCACUGCUACACUGACAAUUCCGCUAUCCUCUCCCGAAUUCGAGUUAUGUAGUUUUAAAAGCAAUUCCAAGGUUGAGCCCUGGGCUUUCACUUCUAACUUUCAUAACCGCCUACGCACUCUUUACGCCCAGUGAUUCCGAACAACGCUCGCCCCCUUCGUAUUACCGCGGCUGCUGGCAC
rnacentral:rRNA from 1 species